GUUGGCGUGGCAGAACCCGGCAAUUGCAAAAGACCUAAGCUCUUUCUAAUGGAGGUUCAAGUCCUCCCCUCAACU
rnacentral:tRNA from 1 species